GACGUAGGGGGCAAGCGUUGUCCGGAAUCACUGGGCGUAAAGAGCUCGUAGGCGGUCUGUUUAGUCGGGUGUGAAAGCCCUCGGCUCAACCGAGGAAUUGCACUCGAUACUGGCAGGCUAGAGUCAAGCAGAGGGAAGUGGAAUUCCCGGUGUAGCGGUGAAAUGCGCAGAUAUCGGGAAGAACACCGGUGGCGAAGGCGGCUUCAUGGGCUUGUACUGAAGCGGAGGAGAGAAAGCUAGGGGAGCGCACAGGAUGCGAUAACACCGGAGUCC
rnacentral:rRNA from 1 species